rnacentral:rRNA from 1 species
UACGGAGGAUGCGAGCGUUAUCCGGAUUUAUUGGGUUUAAGGGGUGCGUAGGCGGGUUAUCAAGUCAGCGGUAAAAUCGUGGAGCUCAACUCCAUCCAGCCGUUGAAACUGAUGAUCUUGAGUGGGCGAGAAGUAUGCGGAAUGCGUGGUGUAGCGGUGAAAUGCAUAGAUAUCACGCAGAACUCCGAUUGCGAAGGCAGCAUACCGGCGCCCGACUGACGCUGAAGCACGAAAGCGUGGGUAUCGAACAGG